rnacentral:rRNA from 1 species
CGGGGUGAGUAAUGUAUGGGGAUCUGCCUGAUGGCGGGGGAUAACUACUGGAAACGGUAGCUAAUACCGCAUAAUGUCUGCGGACCAAAGCGGGGGACCUCCGGGCCUCGCGCCAUCAGAUGAACCCAUAUGGGAUUAGCUUGUAGGUAAGGUAACGGCUUACCUAGGCGACGAUCCCUAGCUGGUCUGAGAGGAUGAUCAGCCACACUGGGACUGAGACACGGCCAG